GGGCCUUCUUCGAGGUCACGUGACGAGGAAGCUGCGAAAAACAAGCGUCGUUUGGAUUCAUGUUUGGUCAGCUGCUCAUAUUUACCCGUAUUAUAAAAUGCCAAAAGACAACUGUGCUGCUCUAUUGUUUCCUACAGCAACGAACGGAUGACAUGUUUUUGUCCGGCAGAACAUGAUUUUAGAAAAUCUCGACGUCUGAAAAGAAUCAUCAGAAGACAAACAUAUAUCUUUCUGCAGGGAGGAUCUUAAGCACUGUGCUGUCUAUAAAGCUUUAUCCGCCUGCACGAGUGAAAUACUGGCUGAGGGUGCAAGCUGGCCAGACGGUUUGUAAAAACAAGCCGGACAUCGAGCCGGCAGACUGCGCACUGCGGAGUUCUCCAGAUGCCAAGACGAUGACCUGUGAUUUCGUGGUGCUCAUGGUCCCGUACUCCCAUGUACCGAGCCACCUGCUGGAGAAUCGAUGUAGUGCAACUGUCUGACAUCCAGUGUAGCACUAUUUUCAUCAAACACAAUGCUGUAAUAUUGUUUUAAUCUUGGUAGUGGAGAAAAACUCCUCAUUGCUUUCUAAGUCUCUUUAAGGAAUCUCCUUCCACAAAUGUUUUAUGAUCCAUCGGAUAUUAUUUAGGGUUAUUGUGAACUGUGCAAUGUAUCAGUGUUGAUGUUUCAAAGUAGUAAAUUUUUAUUAUGUUUCUGUAUAUUAAUACUGAUGUGUAUUACAUGAACUACAGUUUCAGAAGUAUUAGUUUCUUUAAAGAACUUGAUAUGUAAAAGUGAAGUAGCUCAUGUUCACAACUAACAGUUCUUACUUUUUCCUACUUCAGCCUGGGAUAGCUGCUCUAAGGAGCUGUUGGUGAUUCAGGGUGGCAGGUUGCUCCUGCGGUCCUCCCUAGCAUAGGCUUUCAUGCAUCUUUGUUCUACCAGCUAAUCCACAAAUGCUGCACCUUCAAAUAAGUUCAGAGUUGCACACUCUGCUCCCAACUGAGAACGAGCAAAAAUGUGAGCACCAGGUUGAGAAUCACUGGCUUAGACUUGCUUAUGUCCUGUUUUAGUUAAUCUUAGUGUUUUCUUUGCUUAUUUCCUGGUCAUCUAUUACAGUUUUUUUGCCAGUUGCUAAUACACAAAUAGCUAAUUCAGGAUACAAAGUGAAUGUAUGAUUUUGCAUUUUCAAUGUACUGAAUGUUUUGUUUGCUAUAGAGUUUAGAAAUAUACUAUUGUUUGUUUUUGGUGGGUAGUGCACAGAAGAUUGACAUAUUCCAUUAAUACAUAUUCCAUGAUGUCCAAGUCUAAGUGCAGGGGUGGACAGUUCCCUAAAGCAUAAAUUUUGUUGGCAUAUUGAAAACACUUUUUUGCAGAAGCUUAGACACAAUUCCCUGAUAAACAUGGAUUUGUAGUUUCCCUAGACACUUUUCAUAAUCCUAAGCACAAGUGUCAUCUCAAAGCACAUCUGACCUCAUGCUGUCAUUCAGAGAGCACUGCCACUCAAAAGGUAAAACUCCUGUACCUUCAAAGAAACAGAAUGAUCACACCAUUGUCAUGGUUUAAGCACAAAGAAAUUUAAUUGUCAGCACACUACUCAAAAGUUAUGAACCAAUGAGAAAACUAUAAUGCAGCAACAGAGGUAAUCGCUUUGCUUGUUACAAUGGAGCUAAACAAUCGGUAAAGACACCAAGGAAGAGGUAAAGGAUGAAACUGUAAGAGGAGAGGAAUAGGUCAUAGGGUAAGAAGAGGAAGACACCUAGUUACAUAUGGCUCAGGCUUACGUUGGGGGGCAAUGUCACACUGUGACAAUCUCACAUAUGACAGACAUCCACAGGAACAAGUGGAUUUACUUCAUGCUAUGGAGAUGGCUUGUGAUGCCAGCCAUAGAGUCCCUGCAGGGGUCGGUUCACCACCUCAGGGGAUGCUUCCCACACUGUCUUGCCAGGGUGGACGUAGCAUGUGACAUUGAUUAGACCCUUUGGCCUGACCCAGCCCAACAACAGGAUAGAGAGUGAAUGUAUUAUUCUGCAUUUUUAGUGUACGAACCUUUUUGUUUGCUAUAGAGUUUAGAAAUAUGCUAUUGUUAUUUUUUUGGAGGUAGUGCAGAUAAGAGUGAGGCAUGUAUUCCAUUUUAAGUCCCAAAUACAGUUACACAUUUUUCUGCACUUUUUGUACUUACAUUUGUGCUGUUUUUAUCAGUUCAUCAACAUAUUUGCUUUGGCAACAGUAUUUUCAAUUAAUUGCAAUAGUGUUAAGGUGACAGAAGUAGUGUCUAUAUAGUUGGGAGUGUGUGUGUGUUUUAACAAUAAAGAUUUGUUUGGCAAUAA